rnacentral:rRNA from 1 species
AGUGAACGCUGGCGGUAGGCCUAACACAUGCAAGUCGAACGGCAGCACAGUAGGAGCUUGCUCUUACGGGUGGCGAGUGGCGGACGGGUGAGGAAUACAUCGGAAUCUACUUUUUCGUGGGGGAUAACGUAGGGAAACAUACGCUAAUACCGCAUACGACCUACGGGUGAAAGCAGGGGAUCUUCGGACCUUGCGCGAUUGAAUGAGCCGAUGUCGGAUUAGCUAGGUGGCGGGGUAAAGGCCCACCAAGGCGACGAUCCGUAGCUGGUCUGAGAGGAUGAUCAGCCACACUGGAACUGAGACACGGUCCAGACUCCUACGGGAGGCAGCAGUGGGGAAUAUUGGACAAUGGGCGCAAGCCUGAUCCAGCCAUACCGCGUGUGUGAAGAAGGCCUUCGGGUUGUAAAGCCCUUUUGUUGGGAAAGAAGAGCAGCAGGUUAAUACCCCGCUGUUCUGACGGUACCCAAAGAAUAAGCACCGGCUAACUUCGUG